rnacentral:piRNA from 1 species
UCCACCAGUAGACUUGGCGCCUCGGCGCGUAC